UGGGGAAUUUUGGACAAUGGGCGCAAGCCUGAUCCAGCCAUGCCGCGUGCGGGAAGAAGGCCUUCGGGUUGUAAACCGCUUUUGUCAGGGAAGAAAUCUUCUGAGUUAAUACCUCGGGAGGAUGACGGUACCUGAAGAAUAAGCACCGGCUAACUACGUGCCAGCAGCCGCGGUAAUACGUAGGGUGCAAGCGUUAAUCGGAAUUACUGGGCGUAAAGCGUGCGCAGGCGGUUUUGUAAGACAGAGGUGAAAUCCCCGGGCUCAACCUGGGAACUGCCUUUGUGACUGCAAGGCUUGAGUGCGGCAGAGGGGGAUGGAAUUCCGCGUGUAGCAGUGAAAUGCGUAGAUAUGCGGAGGAACACCGAUGGCGAAGGCAAUCCCCUGGGCCUGCACUGACGCUCAUGCACGAAAGCGUGGGGAGCAAACAGGAUUAGAUACCCUGGUAGUCCACGCCCUAAAACGAUGUCAACCGGUUGUUAGGGGAAAUGUUUCCCUUUCCUCAGGUAACGUAGCUAACGCGUGAAGUUGNCCG
rnacentral:rRNA from 1 species